rnacentral:rRNA from 1 species
UUGAAAGGGAAACGAUUGAAGUCAGUCGUACCGACGAGAAAUCAGCUUAUCGUGUGUGAACUUGUGGGCGUGCGUGAGUUUCGGCCUCGCUGUUUGCAUGUUUGUGCGCUUUGGGUGUACUUUUUCGUAUGGUAGGCCAACAUCAGUUUCGAUUAUUAUAAAAUGACUGGCGGAAUGUAGCUUCGAUUUCGGUUGAAGUGUUAUAGCCUCUGGUAGAUGUGGUAAUUGGGACUGAGGAUUGCAACGAAUAUCCUUUGGGCUAUCCGUCUGGCCUCUGAAAGUUGCUUGGGUGCUGAAAGCUUGCUUAUGGUUAUCUAAGUUAACGGUCAAUAGGUUAGAACGUGAUUACAUUCGUUAAGGAUGUUGACGUA